UCACGACUUACAUCGGCAGUUUUGUUAGAGUCCCCGGCAUUAUCCGAUGGCAACUAUCAAUAGGGGUUGCGCUCGUUAUAGGACUUAACCAAACACUUCACAGCACGAACUGAAGACAACCAUGCAGCACCUUGUAUUCCGUCAUAUAUGACUAAACUGUUUCCAGUUUAUUCGUAAUACAUUUAAGCCUUGGUAAGGUUCCUCGCGUAUCAUCGAAUUAAACCACAUGCUCCACCGCUUGUGCGAAACCCCGUCAAUUCCUUUGAGUUUCAAUCUUGCGACUAUACUUCCCAGGUGGAUCACUUAUCGCUUUCGCUUAGCCACUGAAUAUAGUUUUUCCAAUAGUUAGUGAUCAUCGUUUAGGGCGUGGACUAC
rnacentral:misc_RNA from 1 species